rnacentral:sRNA from 1 species
UUUUUCUAGUAAGAGCAGCUGCUGAGUCUAAGCAGACUCUUGACUGAACUAGAGGGUAUGGCUGACUUGUCCUGGCCUCAGUGUGCAGCCUCUACAUCUUGGCUCCUGUUGUCUGCUGAGGCUGGGAUAGGUUGCAGAUCAUGGGGCCCUGGCCUUCUCUGACUUUCUCUUGGUCUUACAUAACUGGGAUGGCUGAAUUCUCCUUAGAGCCCCCUCCGUCAACAGUCAUUCUUCAGCUCUUUGUGUCCAUUACUCCCCUCUCAUCCAGGGAACCCUGGUGUCUGAUACUGCAUUGCCCAGUGCUCCUCCCUCAUUGCUCUUCUAUUCCCUCCUCAGCGUGGUGAUGGUGGAUGAGGCACACGAAAGGACCCUACACACAGACAUUCUCUUUGGAUUGAUCAAGGAUGUUGCUCGCUUCCGACCUGAGCUCAAAGUCCUGGUGGCUUCAGCCACAAUGGACACUGCCCGUUUCUCCACCUUCUUUGAUGACGCCCCUGUGUUUCGAAUCCCUGGACGCAGGUUUUCUGUGGACAUCUUCUACACCAAGGCUCCAGAGGCUGACUACUUGGAAGCUUGUGUAGUAUCUGUGUUGCAGAUCCAUGUGACCCAGCCCCCUGGGGAUAUCCUGGUGUUCCUGACAGGACAGGAGGAGAUUGAGGCUGCCUGUGAGAUGCUCCAGGAUCGCUGUCGCCGCCUGGGCUCCAAAAUCCGGGAGCUCCUGGUGCUGCCCAUUUAUGCCAACCUGCCCUCUGACAUGCAGGCCCGUAUCUUCCAGCCCACACCACCUGGGGCACGAAA